rnacentral:rRNA from 3 species
UGAAUAUGGGGGGACCAUCCUCCAAGGCUAAAUACUCCUGACUGACCGAUAGUGAACCAGUACCGUGAGGGAAAGGCGAAAAGAACCCCUGUGAGGGGAGUGAAAUAGAACCUGAAACCGUGUACGUACAAGCAGUAGGAGCACCUUCGUGGUGUGACUGCGUACCUUUUGUAUAAUGGGUCAGCGACUUAUAUUCAGUGGCAAGGUUAACCGUAUAGGGGAGCCGUAGCGAAAGCGAGUCUUAACUGGGCGCUCAGUCUCUGGAUAUAGACCCGAAACCGGGUGAUCUAGCCAUGGGCAGGUUGAAGGUUGAGUAACAUCAACUGGAGGACCGAACCGACUAAUGUUGAAAAAUUAGCGGAUGACUUGUGGCUAGGGGUGAAAGGCCAAUCAAACUCGGAGAUAGCUGGUUCUCCCCGAAAGCUAUUUAGGUAGCGCCUCGGACGAAUACUACUGGGGGUAGAGCACUGUUAAGGCUAGGGGGUCAUCCCGACUUACCAACCCUUUGCAAACUCCGAAUACCAGUAAGUACUAUCCGGGAGACACACGGCGGGUGCUAACGUCCGUCGUGGAGAGGGAAACAACCCAGACCGCCAGCUAAGGUCCCAAAGUAUUGCUAAGUGGGAAACGAUGUGGGAAGGCUCAGACAGCUAGGAUGUUGGCUUAGAAGCAGCCAUCAUUUAAAGAAAGCGUAAUAGCUCACUAGUCGAGUCGGCCUGCGCGGAAGAUGUAACGGGGCUAAGCAAUACACCGAAGCUGCGGCAAUGUCUUUUAGACAUUGGGUAGGGGAGCGUUCUGUAAGCCGUUGAAGGUGAAUCGUAAGGUUUGCUGGAGGUAUCAGAAGUGCGAAUGCUGACAUGAGUAACGACAAAGGGGGUGAAAAACCUCCUCGCCGGAAGACCAAGGGUUCCUGUCCAACGUUAAUCGGGGCAGGGUGAGUCGACCCCUAAGGUGAGGCCGAAAGGCGUAAUCGAUGGGAAACGGGUUAAUAUUCCCGUACUUCUGACUAUUGCGAUGGGGGGACGGAGAAGGCUAGGUGGGCCAGGCGACGGUUGUCCUGGUUCAAGUGCGUAGGCUUGAGAGUUAGGUAAAUCCGGCUCUCUCUAAGGCUGAGACACGACGUCGAGCUACUACGGUAGUGAAGUCAUUGAUGCCAUGCUUCCAGGAAAAGCCUCUAAGCUUCAGAUAGUCAGGAAUCGUACCCCAAACCGACACAGGUGGUCGGGUAGAGAAUACCAAGGCGCUUGAGAGAACUCGGGUGAAGGAACUAGGCAAAAUGGUACCGUAACUUCGGGAGAAGGUACGCUCUUGAUGGUGAAGUCCCUCGCGGAUGGAGCUGACGAGAGUCGCAGAUACCAGGUGGCUGCAACUGUUUAUUAAAAACACAGCACUGUGCAAAAUCGCAAGAUGACGUAUACGGUGUGACGCCUGCCCGGUGCCGGAAGGUUAAUUGAUGGGGUUAGCGCAAGCGAAGCUCUUGAUCGAAGCCCCGGUAAACGGCGGCCGUAACUAUAACGGUCCUAAGGUAGCGAAAUUCCUUGUCGGGUAAGUUCCGACCUGCACGAAUGGCGUAAUGAUGGCCACGCUGUCUCCACCCGAGACUCAGUGAAAUUGAAAUCGCUGUGAAGAUGCAGUGUACCCGCGGCUAGACGGAAAGACCCCGUGAACCUUUACUACAGCUUGGCACUGAACAUUGAACCUACAUGUGUAGGAUAGGUGGGAGGCUAUGAAGACGUGACGCCAGUUGCGUUGGAGCCGUCCUUGAAAUACCACCCUUGUAUGUUUGAUGUUCUAACUUAGACCCAUUAUCUGGGUUGAGGACAGUGCCUGGUGGGUAGUUUGACUGGGGCGGUCUCCUCCCAAAGAGUAACGGAGGAGCACGAAGGUGGGCUAAUCACGGUUGGACAUCGUGAGGUUAGUGCAAUGGCAUAAGCCCGCUUAACUGCGAGAAUGACGGUUCGAGCAGGUGCGAAAGCAGGUCAUAGUGAUCCGGUGGUUCUGUAUGGAAGGGCCAUCGCUCAACGGAUAAAAGGUACUCCGGGGAUAACAGGCUGAUACCGCCCAAGAGUUCAUAUCGACGGCGGUGUUUGGCACCUCGAUGUCGGCUCAUCACAUCCUGGGGCUGAAGUCGGUCCCAAGGGUAUGGCUGUUCGCCAUUUAAAGUGGUACGCGAGCUGGGUUUAGAACGUCGUGAGACAGUUCGGUCCCUAUCUGCCGUGGGCGUUGGAAGAUUGAAGGGGGCUGCUCCUAGUACGAGAGGACCGGAGUGGACGAACCUCUGGUGUUCGGGUUGUGUCGCCAGACGCAUUGCCCGGUAGCUAAGUUCGGAAUUGAUAAGCGCUGAAAGCAUCUAAGCGCGAAGCGAGCCCUGAGAUGAGUCUUCCCUGACAGUUUAACUGUCCUAAAGGGUUGUUCGAGACUAGAACGUUGAUAGGCAGGGUGUGUAAGCGUUGUGAGGCGUUGAGCUAACCUGUACUAAUUGCCCGUGAGGCUUAACCAUACAACACCCAAGGGGUUUUGUA